UUAGCUCUCUUUGCCUUUUGGCUUAGAUCAAGUGUAGUAUCUGUUCUUUUCAGUUUAAUCUCUGAAACUAGUCUACGGACUAGAAUCAUACGAUUAUUCUUAUUUUUGCCACUCGAGGGAUUCCCGCUGGGCUUGCCUAUGGUUUCCCUCACUGUGUCCCUCGUAUUACACUGCCUCGAGGUGACGCGAACAGCU
rnacentral:snRNA from 1 species